CUCACCCUCAGAAAAAGUGUUAGGAAGUGAGUAAUGCAAGUGCGAAUCCCCUUGUGUUAUGGACAUUCCUGGCUCACAGACACCAAUGUGAAAGAAAAUGAGGAGUUUACCCCUUUCGAUUUAUAUGUUUGACUGGCCAAUUCCUUCUCAAGUUGUUAAAAAAGCCAAGGAGGAAAAGCAGUGUCACAGCCAUCUGUGAAAAGCACCAGAGCAAUAAAUGUGUCGAACUGUGAUGAGAACUACACCAGUAAUGAUGAAGGUCUCUGGGGAAAUCUUCAUAUGCUGUUGAUCUUCUACUGGACCAUCAAACACAUCACUAACAUUACAUGGAAAUAAAGCCUUUUUCCUCCAUCUUCCUUUGUUGUGUUUAAGAAGAAAAGCUCAUCUGAACAGGUAAGUAAACAGACUAUCUCAGGAUGAGGAUGUGAGCAACAUCUUCUAGUCCCAAAGAGUUUCUAAACUAUCCUUCUGUUCUUGUGGGAGUACAAUUAGAUUAAAUAGUCCCUAUCGUCCAGAUUGAGAUAAAACUAACUGGAUGUGAAGGUUUCGAUUAAAAAAGCUACUUUAGAAUGUCUAUAGAAAACUUGUACGUUCAUAUUGAAACUUCAGCUUGGGAGUUUUCCUGGACGGGGAUGUGAGCCAGCUGCCGAAAUCCACACAGGUCAGUAACAGAGUCACACCUAAUGCGGAAUUCCUGAGGCUCAAUACUGUACUCCUUUCUCUAGCCUGUGUCAUCACUCAUUAGCAGAUAUAUCUUGUCAUGUAUGAUUAAAAGUGAAUUAAUUAAAACUCCUGUGUCAAAAGGUUAACUAUAUGAUUUAUGCUAUAUUAUUAUGAGUGCCUUCAGAGAAAUGUUAGGCUGGAUUCCUAUUUACACCAGAAGACAUGUUCCCUUUUAACUCAGAAAGAUGAGUUUAACUAAGGGAAAAGAGGAAAAGCAGGCUGAGAGAAUACUGCUUUUACUCAGAAAUGGCCUCAAGGACCCUUUUCAGGUCCCUGUUGUUGGGAUGUUGGGAUGGGCAGAGGGAACCCCACUCUGGGAACUGGCCUGGCAGCUAUUGUUGCAUAUAGGGUACAAGGAGGGACCAUGGAGGAUGACUCCUGCUUCUGGAAGGGGCUUCGCAGCCCUGCACUGCAGUGCUCCAGGCCACCAGACAGCACAACCUGUCUCUUCCCUUUGGUGGCAGCCAUCACAGCCAAGUUCAACAGCCAAGUGACACAGCCACGUUCUGGCAGAAGUAAAGGUGGGAGUGGGAUCAUUUCCCACUCCUCCCAAUCUGCCUGCUGUUUAAAUAGUGGCUGAUAUGUCUAUGAGUGACUUUUGUGCCAGGGUCAAAGCUGCAAUUCCCUUGCAGGAAGUGCUGUAUGCAGAUACUACUAUGGAUGGCUGCUGUCACAGCUGUGAAUGCUGCAAUACAAGACAGCACUGUGGCAGCUCCUGGGAAGAAAAAUUAACUCUAUCCCAGACAAAACCAGGAUGGUAUGAUAACAGACAGAUCUACUGGACAGGAAGGUCUUGUAAUGAAUUAGUUUUGUAAGGCAUUUGAUAGCCAUUUCUGUCCUCUUUAGCUGACCAUAUUCCUGCUUUCACUGCAUAAGAGACUGUUCUGGGAGGACUUUAUUUGGACAGAAGAAGAAAAUAUCCCUUCUCAGAUAGAAUGAGAGCAAACCUAGUUGUCUUCAAGAGCUUGAUACACAAGCUCCAGUUAUGUCAAAGCAAAGUCUUAGUGAGAUCAGUAGGGACAGAAUUUCUGAAGAAAUCUAUAUAAGUGCCUUAAAAGGUUAAUGUUCUUGCUGACUAAGAUCUCCAAAAUUAAUUCUUCUACAAGCAGGUUUGCAGCCUCCUUUGAACCCAUAUGACUAUGAAGUUAUACAAGAAGUGUUGUUCCACUUUCUGUAGAUCUCAGUCCUGACUUUUAAUAUCCAAAAUUUUAGUAAUCAUAAAGUAUCCAAAUGUGAAGAAGUUUCUGCAGUUAACUGAGGCUGACUUUCAAAGCUAUGAGCUUUUUGAUCUCCAAAAGAUCUGAAAGCAUUUUGUAGUUUACACUUGCAUAGAGGUGUUUCAAAAGAUAUAUAAUCAACUUAUGUUCAUAAAAAAGCAUAAUGAGUUAUUUUUAUUUUUUAAAAUAUAGAGAACAUUUAUUUGUGUGAUUUUUUCCCCAGAAAACCCCAAAGGUUUAUGAGACAAAAGAUCCAAAGAGCAUUAACUUUGAAAGAGCAUAGGUACACAUGCAAAUUUUAUAUUCAUAUUGUUUCUUUCUCAUAUAAAUAGUGGAAGUAUUCCAUUGAACUGAAGAAAUGUAGCGCGAUGUCUUUAAUGAAUCAUAUUUUUCUGUCACCUUUAGUGGAAGGAAAAACUUACAAAGCUUAAGGGGCAUGAACUGACGUAACAGAAAGGUUCCAGAUAAUGAGGAAAUACUGAAAAUUCUUCAGAUCUCUGUUCUUUGUAUGAUGUAUGAUUUUGGAACAAUCUGUAUGUUUUAAGCAAGAAGAGAUUAUAAUCAAGAGAAAAAUAUGAGCUGAAACCAUUUUGUAAGUCAAAAGUAUUUUUUUCUGAGUAAUUUCUAGUUUGCAUGAAUAAUUUAGAUUAGUUUAACUCAUCAACAAAGGUUAGGAUAUCCACAUUUUGAAAUAAUUGAACUUUGCUGAACCAUCAAACAUAUAAUUUCCACUUAACUAAUAGUUUUCAUUGAUUUAUUUUUUUCCAAGAGAAUAAGCAGGUCAGUUAUAUCUGGAAUAUCUGAUACGUAAAGAAGAUACAUUCUUCACACACUGAUUUUCUUCUCUAGAAGCGAAGGAAUGCAACAUUUAAAAAAAAAUGAAGUGAAUUUGCAAGACUGUGCAGAGCUGGCAAUAGUUUCUUAUUAUUUUGCCAAAAGAAUGUUGAGAAUGUUGGUUACACUUGAACUGAAUACAGUGAUUUAUUUUAGAGGCUGUGUUAUUCAAUUUGGUGUUUAGCUUCCUUUUCAUCAUCUCUGUACAUAUAUCCAUUGAGAGCAGAAGUUGCUGGGCAUUGCUUAUAAUUGUUUGGUAUUUCUUGCAGGUAUACUAUGUGGGUUCCUUUGAGAUACACAAUACAAAUCCUUCUUGGAACAUGUGUGGCCCAAAUAAGAAAAAAACCCCCAACCCCCAAAUUCCCCCUCCUAACUUCUCCAACAACUAUUUUCAAAGAAGCUCUCCAGCUCCCUUAUCUCAUUAGUACACCUGAUGGCUCUGCCCAGCAACUUUCCCAUCUCUCUCCAGAGCCCUGGCAAUGCCCAAAAUGACUGCUAAAAGCAAUGUGUUUGACUAUUGUUUCAAGCAAAAUAUGGACAGAAUGUAAUGCUCUUUGUCUGAGUAUCAUAUUUUUCUUUGCUACAAGCUGUUGUCUGGCUGAAUAUAUGUCUGAUGAAACUGGAGAGCCUUAUGCUUUCCUGAAUUACUGAGCACUGUCCUACUUAUGUAAAAUUUUUAAAAAAUAUGUUAUGAUUAAUGUAUAUGCAUAUAUGAAAAACAUAUCAGGUUAUAACAUUUAGAAAAUGCCAAUAUCAAGACUGUCUGAAGAAAUAUGAGAUUUUUUUUCUGCAUUAAAUGUCUACUUUGCACACAUGGUUUUCCACAGGUCUUGCUAUUACCAUGCUAUUUUUGGUAGGGUGCUGGUGUCAUUCAUUACAGACAUGGAUAAUGUCUGUUGUUCUAUUUAAUGUAUGGUUUAUUUUCAGUAUACGCUCCAUGUCCUAUUAACCACACCAUGUAUAAUUUUGCUCUGGUGACAGAAUAGUUUUCUUCUUGGCUUGCUUGCCUGCCUGUCUGAAUUUUCCAUCCACUUUUGCCGACUGGAACUUUUCAAGGCUCUGGUGUGAUCAGCCUAACCACAUUUCUUUUCCAUGAAAACCGGUGCAUGAAGAAACGGGGGAAAAAAUUACAGGGGUAAAGAUGGUUCAGUUCCGGAUCUUGUUCCAUCUGGUAUGUGAAGGUGACAUAUAUACCCAGGUGAUCCCAGAUGCAGAAUUUAUGUGUAUCCACAGAGACAUGAAAUGUUUUUAAAAAAUCCUAUCAGUCUUCCAUGUGGCUUUCUUAGGUAGCCAAGUACUGCAAAAUGUUUGCUUUAAAUGUGUUAUGAAUUUAUCUUCAAAAUGCCCAUGAGGUAAUGUAAGAAGAUAGUCUCCAUUUGCAUAUGAGUAAGAAGUGUACCAAGAAGCUGCAGCUUAAACUUUCAAACAGUGGAACACAAAACGAUUGAUUUUUCCAAAGUUUUUAGUAUGUCAAACAAUUUUCUGUAUGUAAGUGUUUCACAUGUUUUUAAUUACACCUGAAUUUAUUCAGGAUCACCGUAAAACUGAACUUAGAUUCUCAAGAUGGUUACCCAGAAAAUAAGAAAUUAGAAGAGCCAUUUAUGAAAAGCUUAAUAUAUGUGACUUAACUGACACAGUAUCUUAUUGACAGAAUCAGAGAUGGAAUUCAGUUCUUUGGGGAGAAUUCAACUGCCUUAAGCAUGCAUUCAAUCAUGCAUCCCAAGUUUUGGGGUUUGUUUUUAGAACAAAUACACCAAGUUUUUGUACAAAUAUUGCCAGAGACCUAGUUCUGAACUGUACCAUGUUGCUUCACUUAUUCUCUGCACCUCAUAUGAGUUCCAGCCUUCAGAUCAUGUUAUGCUUUUUCCUACUAAGGUAAAAAUGAUCUUACUAUCAGAAAUCUUCUCAUUGUAUUUACAUUAAUGGUACUUAGAACAUCAAAAGAAUGACUAAACUUAAGAUGAAAUUCAGGUGAAGGGGGACAAUUUGACUCCCCUUUAGCUGGAAACAUGGAAUGUAUUGAUCUGUCUUCAUCUGUAAUGACCUGCACAUUUACAAUUCUCUGGUUUAAAAGAUCUGGAAAUCUAAUCCAAAUACUGGAAGUUACAUUCACAAAUAAGUUGUAAAGUAUGCACACUCUUUAUAUAGAGCAUGAUCAGAAGACCCAGACUAGAAAAGGCUGCAUUGGAUCUAGGACUGGAAGGCUACAUUUCCAUUUUUUUUUUUUUUUUGUAAGAUUAGUGUCUAGCUUAAUAGGUACUGUUUACAGUCAGGGUUAUGCAUCAGCAAGAUGUCAUUACUUUCAGUGCUUAGGUUGAGUCUUUGUUGAACCAAACAUGUUGAACCAUGUUGAACCAAAAUGUGUGGAUGUAGAGGUCUGACCACCAUUAGCUUGACGAGUUUGUAUCUGGCCCUUGCACAUGGUAGAUGAGUACAAAGGUGACUAAAUGUCCUUUUGUGUUUCAUUGGCAUUUACAUUUCCAUUCAGCCCUUAAAAAUCUAGAUGCACCUUAAAUUCUGCUAGUAGUUUUUCUUCCAUGCCUGUUUUGGGUAUGCUCAUAAUGACCCAAGUCCAAAUACAGUCAAGUGUCUCAGUUCCAACUUCCCAGCUAUUUCCUGGAACAAGGAAGAUAGUGCUUUAUACUCUCUCCCACAACAUCUGAUUCCCUAUGAGUUCUCUGAGGAGAAAGAAGACAGCCAGCAAGGGGAGGGAAAGCAAACUGAAGAGAGUGAUCUGAGCCAGAAGUCCUACCUCCCAAGGAAUCCUCUAGCCAACACUGAAGCCUUCCCUCUGAGGCACUGUGAUAUUCACAAGUGCAACAGAUGCUGGGAGUUGUUAGAACUUCUUGGGUUUUGUUCAGUUUCCUACUGAAAUGCAGUGUGCUGUGCUCUGUCUUUAGAGAUGGGAGGACGGUUACUUACCUCACUGAUUUCUCCUGAAUAUUUUGAGGCAGGCUGAAACCUUAAGUGAAUGCACGAUAUUAGGCUGCUUUUUCUCACCAGAGCAGAGGAAGGCCUAUCUCUCUAAGCAAGCAGUGUGGCCCAGGGCAGUAGUGAAACAGUUAGCACUGAGUGCCCAACAUCCAUGCUGUCCACGUUGCAAGGAAUUGCUUUGCAUGAACUCCAGUCUAGUUCUGUAGGUUGAAUGUCCUUUGUUGUUUGGAACCCAUGAGGUGCAUUCAUGGAGAAUUUCUGAUUUCAUCUCAAAGAGAGUUAGUUCAGGUGGUCCAAAAGGGUGACUUUGUGUACUCCUGCCCUGAAUUAAAAAAAUAAUGGAGCCACUCUUCAAACCAUGGAAGGUGGAUUUGGGCUAUGAAGGAGAAACCCAAGAGGAAGAAACUUGCUAGUGUGAGUACCUCCUUGAAGACCCUGAAUGGUACAGGGACCCAACGUGCAGCAGGAAGCAGAAGCAGAGAUCAAACUCCAAGGAUAUGGAAAUAAAGACCACUUUAUAGGAACACAGAAGGGUCUGCAUAGAGCUUGCCUGAUGCAAGAAGCUGCUCAGAGUUUCUGUAAUGCAUCCCUGUAAUGAAAUUCUGUAACGCAUUUCUGUAAUGAAAAGAACUGCUUGAAAUGAUGUCCACCAUGCUAGGAUCUAGUGGACAACUGUCAGAUCUGUCUUCAUGCCUUUUACAUAAGUGUCUCUUUCUCAUCAGAUACAAAUUUCAACUAUUGACAGAUCUAGCUUUUUCUAGCUUGUUACUUUUGUGUUAGAAUAAAAAUUAAUUGUGUAAAUGGGAAGUCUGACGUGCCUUUUUUUGUUUUCAACUAAUGGUAAGGGACACAUGGGUUAGGGUUUCUAGAUCUGCCGUGUUAAAUUAGUUUGAGACAUGUUCAGCCUGCUGUCAUUUUGUCUAGCUUAUGCUGCUUCUUGUCCCUUUGACUUCAGUAAAAAACCUACAAGAAACAGGAUGGACUUUCUGGAAUAUUUCUCUAUGUUAGUUUUCACACAUGAUUUCAUCUGCAGGUUUUCCACUAUAAGAAGGAGUGUUCAGCGUGGCCCUCAGUUCUUAUCCCUUCCCCACUGGAACAAAACUUGCUGGCAACAAAUAUCAUUUUGUUUGAAUGAAGGAGACUAAAAAGUGAUGUCAGAUUUAUUUCUGCACUUUAAACAAACAUUUUAAUCUGCUGUGCUCUUUUUCGUUUUAACAGUGAUUGUAUUCAGUUUAUCAUUCCAGACGUUUCUUCAUGCAAACUCCCUCACCAGGAUUUGAAAACACUUUUUUCUUUCAAGAGAAAUAUUUCACACACUCUCUCCCUUUGUCUGAAAAGCAGAGUCAUGUGGGAACUGAUUGCUAUUCACUGAAAUGAUAUUUUCACUCAGAAUUAAUAUAGCCUUAUUUAAUUUAUGACAUCACAUAACAUGAUAAAUUAUGAAUUAAAAAUAUCAUUAUUCGGUGUGUGAAUGCUUGUCAUCCAUUUUGAUACCAAAUUAAUCCUGAAGCUUUUGGAAAAAAGCUUCCAGCAGCACACAGUAGCAUCAUUAGUAGCAGAAGCUCAGGAAGGUCCCAAAUGUUUGCAAAUGGGCAAUCCUACAUCAUGCACUGCUCUGGCUUUUGUGAUUUACUAGAUUUUCAUAUGUAAUAUAUUGUAUUCAAAUCAAAAUAGAUUAAUUGUUUGACACUCAAACACAGCUUUUCUUUAGAUAGCAGGAUUUAAAUAUGACACGUGUUGCACGUCAGUUCUAGCAAGGAAGGAGGUAUGUAUCCCUCUACCAGUACUCUACCAAGAAGCUCAUUUACAAAUGACUAAUUUGCAUAUUUGCCCCCAGCAUGCAAUUUUAAAUAUUUUUAAAAUUAUUUCUGACAAAUUCCUGUUGUGCCUUCAUUUGCUUCCGAAAGCAGCCAGACGUGAAAAAUACCCUGCAUGCACCUAGGUGUAUAUCUGCAAAAAGCCUCUAGGUUCUGGAAAAAACAUGAGAAUAUUUUUUUCUGUUAAUUUAGUAUUUCCAAUUCUGAUUUCACUAGAAAUGAUGAAAUGAUGAGCUAGAAAGAGUAACACAAAGCCAAUUAAACUACUUUGUAUCCUAGACUGCAUGAAUUUGUCUGGAUGAAGUGUCAAAGAUUUGUGGUAUUUCUUGUUUAAUCUGAACUGAUUCACCCAUUCCAGUGAAUCUAAGAAUAGAUUUUCUGUCUUUGUAUGAUUCUUGACUGCCUGUAAUCUAAGGAAAUGAAAAAGGGAUGAAAUUACUUUUACAUUUGUGGUGGGACAGUACUUGGUUAAAUUUUUUUUUUUUUGGUACUCAGAUUUUAAACAAAGGAUCCUGGUAACAGCUUCCAGCUUAUUCUGCAUUACAAAUAAACUGAAUCAACAGCACCUCUAGGUUGAGUUUCUAGCUGUGCUUCUUGACUCAGAUAUCUCACACUGCAUCUGAUUUUCUCUUUUUACUGAUUAUAGC